rnacentral:rRNA from 1 species
AAGGUCCUGCCUGCCCAGUGAAAACUUUAAACGGCCGCGGUAUCCUAACCGUGCAAAGGUAGCGUAAUCACUUGUCUUCUAAAUAAAGACCAGUAUGAACGGCUAAAUGAGGACAAACCUGUCUCCUACAACCAAUCAGUGAAACUGAUCUUCCAGUACAAAAGCUGGGAUAAUAACAUCAGACGAGAAGACCCUGUGGAGCUUAAAAUACACCUAGUACAAAUAAACAACUAGCACAAAUUUUAAGUUGGGGCGACUUCGGAAAAAAACAAAACUUCCGAGCACAGAAUCACCAGUUCUAACCGAGGCAAACAGGCCAAAGCAAAGCUUGACCCAGUCCACACUGACCAACGAACCAAGUUACCCCAGGGAUAACAGCGCCAUCCUCUUCAAGAGCCCAUAUCGACAAGAGGGUUUACGACCUCGAUGUUGGAUCAGGGCACCCCAAUGGUGCAACCGCUAUUAAAGGUUCGUUUGUUCAACGAUUAACAGCCCUACGUGAUCUGAG